rnacentral:rRNA from 1 species
GACGAACGCUGGCGGCGUGCUUAACACAUGCAAGUCGAACGGAAAGACCCUGCUUUUGUGGGGUGCUCGAGUGGCGAACGGGUGAGUAACACGUGUGUAACCUGCCCUUGACUUUGGGAUAACUUCAGGAAACUGGGGCUAAUAUCGGAUAGGAUCUCCUGCUGCAUGGUGGGGGUUGGAAAGUUUCGGCGGUUGGGGAUGGAUUCGCGGCUUAUCAGCUUGUUGGUGGGGUAGUGGCUUACCAAGGCUUUGACGGGUAGCCGGCCUGAGAGGGUGACCAGCCACAUUGGGACUGAGAGACGGACCAGAAUCGUACGGGAGGCAGCAGUGGGGAAUAUUGCACAAUGGGCGGAAGCCUGAUGCAGAAGCGCCGCGUGCGGGAUGACGGCCUUCGGGUUGAAAACCGCUUUCGCCUGUGACGAAGCGGGAGUGACGGUAAUGGGUAAAGAAGCACCGGCUAACUACGUG